UUCUUUGAGAUUUAUGGACUGUAUGUGUGAUUGCCACUCUUCGCUAUUAUGAAAACAUAAUUAGCCUUCGCUUAGUUGGUUAACUGUGUUGGAUUAGAAGUUAGAGUAGCUCCUUUGUUGUGUUAAUCUGUGAUUGGAAGCAUAGUGAUUGAGUUAAUGACCGACCAUUUUCAUUCUGUCUUUGAACCAUUUUUACAUCUGUGUUUGUAUUUCUGUUUGCAUCCGUGUUUUUAAUUUAACUCAUCCGCAUUCACAAUCCUUUCACAAACCCCCCCACUUCGUGUCUGACUUAAUUCUUGAACCGCAAAAUUGGUCCUUGAGAGACGACCUAGGAGUCAUUUCCUAGCUAUACUGCAUUUCU
rnacentral:lncRNA from 1 species